UAAGGAAUAUUGGUCAAUGGAGGCAACUCUGAACCAGCCAUGCCGCGUGCAGGAAGACUGCCCUAUGGGUUGUAAACUGCUUUUAUCCGGGAAUAAACCUCUUUACGAGUAAAGAGCUGAAUGUACCGGAAGAAUAAGGAUCGGCUAACUCCGUGCCAGCAGCCGCGGUAAUACGGAGGAUCCAAGCGUUAUCCGGAUUUAUUGGGUUUAAAGGGUGCGUAGGCGGCCUGUUAAGUCAGGGGUGAAAGACGGUAGCUCAACUAUCGCAGUGCCCUUGAUACUGAUGGGCUUGAAUGGACUAGAGGUAGGCGGAAUGAGACAAGUAGCGGUGAAAUGCAUAGAUAUGUCUCAGAACACCGAUUGCGAAGGCAGCUUACUAUGGUCUUAUUGACGCUGAGGCACGAAAGCGUGGGGAUCAAACAGG
rnacentral:rRNA from 1 species